rnacentral:rRNA from 1 species
AACAAAAAUUUAUAUAAAAUUUUUCAGUAAUAAUAAAUAAUUUAAUUUUUUUUUUAAAGAUAAAAUUAUUAAGUGAAAUUUUAAUUUUAUAAAAAAAAUAUUAAAUAUUAUGAUUUUAAAAAAUUUUAUUAUUAAACUAGGAUUAGAUACCCUAUUAUAAAAAAAUUAAUAAAAAAUACUAAAAUAGUAAAUGAUAUUUUAUUGAAACUUAAAUAAUUUGGCGGUAUUUUAGUUCAUUUAGAGGAAUCUGUCUAAUAAUUGAUAGUCCACGAAUAAAUUUACUUAAUUUAAAAUUUUAUAUAUCGUUGUUAAAAAAAUAUUUUUAAAAAAAAAUAAUAUUUAAAAAUUAUAAUGAAAAUUAGUUCAGAUCAAGAUGUAAAUGAUAAUUAAGAAUAUGAUGGAUUACAAUAUUAAUAAAUAAAUGGAUAUUAAUUUGAAAAUUUAAUUAAAAGUGGAUUUAAAUGUAAUUUUAUUUAAUUUAAUAAAAUGAUUGAAUAUUAAAAUAUGUACAUAUUGCCCGUCACUUUCAUUUAAAAAUUGGA